GAUGAACGCUGGCGGCGUGCCUAAUACAUGCAAGUCGAGCGAACGGACGAGAAGCUUGCUUCUCUGAUGUUAGCGGCGGACGGGUGAGUAACACGUGGAUAACCUACCUAUAAGACUGGGACAACUUCGGGAAACCGGAGCUAAUACCGGAUGAUAUUUUGAACCGCAUGGUUCAAAAGUGAAAGACGGUCUUGCUGUCACUUAUAGAUGGAUCCGCGCUGCAUUAGCUAGUUGGUAAGGUAACGGCUUACCAAGGCAACGAUGCAUAGCCGACCUGAGAGGGUGAUCGGCCACACUGGAACUGAGACACGGUCCAGACUCCUACGGGAGGCAGCAGUAGGGAAUCUUCCGCAAUGGGCGAAAGCCUGACGGAGCAACGCCGCGUGAGCGAUGAAGGUCUUCGGAUCGUAAAACUCUGUUAUUAGGGAAGAACAUAUGUGUAAGUAACUGUGCACAUCUUGACGGUACCUAAUCAGAAAGCCACGGCUAACUACGUG
rnacentral:rRNA from 1 species